ACUGUUUCAAUCUCCUUGGAGGGGUGGCAGGGAACUUCCCCAAAAGUGACUGACAGACGGGCUGCUUGGAGCUCUGAGGGCCUCAAGGAGAGCGGAGGAGGGGCUGCCUUCAGCUGGGAAGGUGAGAGAAGAGCCUGAAGCAGAGGGGGGUCUCCACUACAGACUUUCCAGCUGCUGCUUGGGAACAACUGAUAAGCCAGGAAGGCAGCUGGAGCAUAGGCUGAGAAGCAAAGAGCAGGCUGUGCAAAGACAGAGUUUCACUCUUGUUGCCCAGGCUGGAGUGCAAUGGCACAAUCUCAGCUCACUGCAGCCUCCACCUCCCAGGUUCAAGCAAUUCUCCUGCCUCAACCUCCUAAGUAGCUGGGAUUACAGAAGAAAAUGAAGCUUAUUAAAGUUGAAUGAGUCAUCCAAGGCCAUAUAGCUGGUUGGCAGCUGAACUGGGGUUUGAACCCAAGUUUUUCUUCCACACCAUGCAGCAUUUACUAUAUAGAAAAAUAGCUGAAUAAAUUUCUCUUGUUAUUUUAGCCAAAUUUCAUUUGUAAAAUCCCAGAAGUGGCCUACUAUUCUGAUAUGGCAAUAUGUAUCUUUCAUGAUCUGAAUAAACAACAGAGAAAAUCCACUGUAUUCUUAUGAGUUUGGAAAACAAAGUGUUAUCACAGAUAACACUAAGCUAUUCCUGUCCUCAGUUCCCGUGAUUUUGAACCUGUUAUUCAGAACAAGAAGCCCUGUGCUUCAAAUACAAGCCAGAACAUUCUAUUUAGUGCAAACACAAGAUCCAAAACUCCAUUUUAAAAAUGGAGUUUCUGUACAGUAAGAAAUGGAGUUUUCUGUACUGUAAGAAUCCAGCCUGCAUUUGUCAGUGGCAGAGAGACUAGUGAAGAGAGAGGUCCCUGAAGAGGUCA
rnacentral:lncRNA from 1 species